GAGGAGAACAAAAGGAGGACACUGCAGAAGAAUGACAUUGCAGCAGCAAUCACAAGGACAGACAUAUUUGAUUUUCUGGUUGAUAUUGUUCCUAGGGAGGAUAUGAAAGAUGAGGUACUUGCUGCAACAGUUCCAAGAGGGCCCCUACCUAUUGGAGGUCCAGCUGAAGGUGUUCCUUACUAUAACUAUAUGCCUCCACAGCAUGCUGCACAAGUUGGGUCUCCAGUUAUGUACAUGGGUCAGCAGCCUCGUCCUUACAUGGCUCCUCAAAUGUGGCCACAACAACAGCAACCUCCUGAAGACUCUGAUCAGUAAUGAGUGGACUGCUGGUCAUUAAAGCAUGUGAAGGUAAUUUUUUAAUUAUCAUGCUGUAAAUGAAGAUUAUAUUGAUAUCACAUCGGUGUUCUUUUAAUUCUUUUGAAUGUUUUAGUGGUUUUUGUUUUUUGUUUAUUGCUGACUUUUGUUUUGGUGGCCAUUGUCCAGUUUUUAUCCAGCACCAUUAAGUAAUGAAGACUAAUUUGAUAAGAAUACUAGAAAACAUUUAAAUUAAACAUGUAGAUAAUUUUAUACACUAUACUCUUGACCCCACCUGAGUCGCUGAACCCAUGUUCAUCAUCUUCUUUAAGAACAAGAAGUAUGGUGAUAACCUAGAUCAUCAGAAAGAAAGACAAGAGACCAGAGAAAAACUUUGUCACAAUUUUUAACUGAACACAAAGAGAGAAACAACCCCCUCUUGGAGAGCAGGGAAGCUUUCCUCGACCAACAACUAUGUUUUGUGAUAACAUCCCACUUACAAGUGGUAAGCAUCUUUAGAGAUUUGAUGGCAAAAUACUCUUACAUAUCUGAGCACUUAAGCUGCUAGUUGCACAAAUAGCAUUUAUCCCUCUGUCGCAAUUUUGACCAUCAGAGAAUCCUCCUCCGCAUUUCGCCCAUAUGACCAAAUUUACUUUCCUCUUCCCAUGUUUAAGCCCCAGGAUCCAUUUUAUGUCCUAAGAGCAUCACCAACCCUUGAAGUAAUUUUUGGCGUAGUUUUUACACCAAAUUUGGUGUAAAAAUCAGACCAGUUAUUCUCUCCAAGCCAUGUACACCGAAGUUAGGACUCUUUUUUGUAAUAUAGGUUAUUUUAUUGUUAAAGUUGAAAUUAAUAGAUUUUGUGGAACGUAAAAGGAAAUGAAAUUGGUUUAAGUAAGAAGUAUGAGGGUAGUGUUGGAUUUACAAAAACUCUAAAUUUGGCGUGACACCAAAUCUGGUGCAACGUUUAGAGUUUGGUUAGAGAGGAAUUUACACCAAAUUUGGUGUAAAGUACACUUUUAGAGUUUGGUUGUAGAUGGUCUAAGCACCACUAAACUCUCCAGCCUUUCUCCGUCUGCCACCAACAACUCAAUCGCCAGUAUUUAAGAUCAAACUGUAGUAACAUAUGGGGUAAAUAACUGCAACAUUUUCAUUUUUAAUUUAGGAAAAGGAGAGAGAAGAAAACCAGCUGUUGGCGAUCUAAUAUUUGUGUGUAUAAAUAUUUGAGGAUUGAAUAGUACUUGCAGUUGGUGGAGAGUAGCAAGUAAUUUUGCUCACCUGGGUUAUUGGCUGGGUNUGUAUUGCUUCAAAAGCGCUCAAGUAUUUACAUGAAAGUGAAGGCGUUAAUUAGAAUGAUGUGUGUAUUGUUUUUGGUGUUGAGGAACCACUUUAUCGUAUGAGGUUCUUGACAAGAGUAACAUCUCUACUUCAAAAUGCAACUCACAUGCCUUGUUCUUCAACUUCUAUAAAUGAAGAGGAAGAGGGAGAACAAGAAUUUAAAGGACCAGAAAUUGAACUAAGUGACUUCGAAGCUUUUGAUUUGUUGAACAUCACUGAUUCAUACUUUAUUAUUGAUAAUUUUGUUAUAUUAGACAUGUUAAGAAUCUAUUAAGUACUAUAUAUAUGUUAAAACUAUGAUCUUAUUUUUGAAAAAAAUGCCCGUGAUUAUGGCACUUCACGAGUCACGCUUCAAAAUUAGGUCCUGCACUUUUUAAGAUAUUGCGCCUUAAACAACACAGAGUGUAUCCCAAACUGCAUUUUGAACUUUGUCAAAAGUUGUACACAUCUGUCAUUCGUCCUUAAACCUCUGAGUCAAAACUUUUAAAAGAAAUUAAAGGUUUUUGGGUACUUAGGUAUGAAGUCUGGCAGUCGUGACAAACAGAUGUACAAGGUAUCACAACCAUGUUGUCAUAUCUUAAAUGAAUGAACUUGUUGGAUUUUGUGUUUGAAUGUACUUGGCAUUUUGUGAGAUGAACUAGCUCAUAGGGUAAACAUAUUACUGUGUUUUAGAAUUCUAAGAACUUCUGUGAUAUCUGAAUGAUGGUUUUUACUGUUACUUUCCACCAGCAAAAGAGAGCAGGUCAGUUGCACGUCUAUUGUGUAUGUUUAGCAAAUAAGUUAGACGACUAUAUAGUUUUUGGUGCAGCUGUUUGAAGCUGCAGAUAUUGCCUAUUUCUUCUCCUUAUUCUGAUAUGAUUAUAUCUUGUGCUUUUCUUUUUGGGAAUUUACAGAAGAUCGAUAAAUAAAAUAAAUAAAUAAUGGACCAGCAAGGCCAUGGACAGCCCCCAAAUAUGGGUGUGGUUGGUACUUCAGCUGAGAUGCCAUAUGGUGUGGCUCCUUAUCAGGCUAACCAGAUGAUGGGAACCUCUACUCCUGCACCGGCUGGAUUAAUUCCGUCUACACAGACUCCAGGUCAGCUUGCACAACACCAACUUGCUUAUCAGCAAAUCCACCAGCAGCAGCAACAGCAGUUGCAGCAACAACUCCAGAGCUUUUGGGCAAACCAGUAUCAAGAAAUUGAGCAGGUUACUGAUUUUAAGAAUCACAGUCUGCCAUUAGCUAGGAUUAAGAAAAUUAUGAAAGCCGAUGAGGAUGUUAGGAUGAUAUCAGCUGAAGCUCCAGUCAUAUUUGCCCGAGCCUGCGAGAUGUUCAUCCUUGAGUUGACUAUGCGUGCUUGGAAUCAUACAGAGGAGAACAAAAGGAGGACACUGCAGAAGAAUGACAUUGCAGCAGCAAUCACAAGGACAGACAUAUUUGAUUUUCUGGUUGAUAUUGUUCCUAGGGAGGAUAUGAAAGAUGAGGUACUUGCUGCAACAGUUCCAAGAGGGCCCCUACCUAUUGGAGGUCCAGCUGAAGGUGUUCCUUACUAUAACUAUAUGCCUCCACAGCAUGCUGCACAAGUUGGGUCUCCAGUUAUGUACAUGGGUCAGCAGCCUCGUCCUUACAUGGCUCCUCAAAUGUGGCCACAACAACAGCAACCUCCUGAAGACUCUGAUCAGUAAUGAGUGGACUGCUGGUCAUUAAAGCAUGUGAAGGUAAUUUUUUAAUUAUCAUGCUGUAAAUGAAGAUUAUAUUGAUAUCACAUCGGUGUUCUUUUAAUUCUUUUGAAUGUUUUAGUGGUUUUUGUUUUUUGUUUAUUGCUGACUUUUGUUUUGGUGGCCAUUGUCCAGUUUUUAUCCAGCACCAUUAAGUAAUGAAGACUAAUUUGAUAAGAAUACUAGAAAACAUUUAAAUUAAACAUGUAGAUAAUUUUAUACACUAUACUCUUGACCCCACCUGAGUCGCUGAACCCAUGUUCAUCAUCUUCUUUAAGAACAAGAAGUAUGGUGAUAACCUAGAUCAUCAGAAAGAAAGACAAGAGACCAGAGAAAAACUUUGUCACAAUUUUUAACUGAACACAAAGAGAGAAACAACCCCCUCUUGGAGAGCAGGGAAGCUUUCCUCGACCAACAACUAUGUUUUGUGAUAACAUCCCACUUACAAGUGGUAAGCAUCUUUAGAGAUUUGAUGGCAAAAUACUCUUACAUAUCUGAGCACUUAAGCUGCUAGUUGCACAAAUAGCAUUUAUCCCUCUGUCGCAAUUUUGACCAUCAGAGAAUCCUCCUCCGCAUUUCGCCCAUAUGACCAAAUUUACUUUCCUCUUCCCAUGUUUAAGCCCCAGGAUCCAUUUUAUGUCCUAAGAGCAUCACCAACCCUUGAAGUAAUUUUUGGCGUAGUUUUUACACCAAAUUUGGUGUAAAAAUCAGACCAGUUAUUCUCUCCAAGCCAUGUACACCGAAGUUAGGACUCUUUUUUGUAAUAUAGGUUAUUUUAUUGUUAAAGUUGAAAUUAAUAGAUUUUGUGGAACGUAAAAGGAAAUGAAAUUGGUUUAAGUAAGAAGUAUGAGGGUAGUGUUGGAUUUACAAAAACUCUAAAUUUGGCGUGACACCAAAUCUGGUGCAACGUUUAGAGUUUGGUUAGAGAGGAAUUUACACCAAAUUUGGUGUAAAGUACACUUUUAGAGUUUGGUUGUAGAUGGUCUAAGCACCACUAAACUCUCCAGCCUUUCUCCGUCUGCCACCAACAACUCAAUCGCCAGUAUUUAAGAUCAAACUGUAGUAACAUAUGGGGUAAAUAACUGCAACAUUUUCAUUUUUAAUUUAGGAAAAGGAGAGAGAAGAAAACCAGCUGUUGGCGAUCUAAUAUUUGUGUGUAUAAAUAUUUGAGGAUUGAAUAGUACUUGCAGUUGGUGGAGAGUAGCAAGUAAUUUUGCUCACCUGGGUUAUUGGCUGGGUUGGUUUAUGGGCACAGUUGGUGUUAUGGAUGGUUUAACACUUUAACCUGUUAAGUUAAUAUUUUUUAAUUUUAUACAUGUCAUUAACUUAAUGGCUGCCAUCCAAGUAAGAAGGGGAGAUAAAACCAGCAAAUUGAUUUUGAGGAAAAUUUAACUAUCAGAAUGCUGAAUUCAUAUGAUUUUUUUCACCAAUUUGCAUUUCAAUAUAAAAGGUUAUAACAUCUUUAUUAUGGAAAUGGGAUGUUAAAUUUGUCUAUCAACCUUUUUCUCUCCGUCUCUCUGAUGAAUACGAACUUCAAUUGCGUAUGCCUUAUUUUCUUUAAUGUAAUGUUUUGAGGAUCCUUAUUUCAGAACUUUAGACGUGUAUAUAUGUCUAUUUAAUGGUUAUUUUGGAGUAAACCUCGUUAAAGGUUGUAUAGAGUUUUGCAAAUUCUGUCAUCUCAUUUUAUUUUUACACAUUGACAUUUUAGGUUAUAAUUCUGUUGGUUUUGAAGUAUAGUUUUUUUUGUUUUUUUUUUGUGUUCCUCCAAUAUUUUUCAUACACUUACAAGCCGGAGCAAUGCAGGGACCCUCAAAGCAAAGUUUGACCUGCAGAAGUUGCACAUGGGGAAGCAAACAAGUACUUUCACAAGUUAGGAGAAAGAAAAUCAAGUAUUUCUACUUAAUAGGAGAAACUUAUCACUAUUUUGGCUUGCUCAACUGUUUUUGUCUAUCCUUUGACUAUAUUGAUGCAUUAGGAUGUACUAAAUGUGAAAUAUAUACCAGUUUCUGGUAUUGCGUUUUUAGUUCAAUGACUCGGCCAUGGUAUGAUUUUAAAUGGUAAAAUUUGAUCCUACUUUCCUUUUGUUUUGAUGGAGUUUUUGGAGGAAGAAUUUGCUAUGGGAAAUGCACUGUUAAAUGUUUGAAUCGAAAAAAAUCAUAUUGCUUCAAAAUGUGUUAUGUUCAAUUAAAAUGUUUUUGUGUUUUCAUUGCAUCAAAAAUCGUCAUAGUUGUAGGAUAUUGGCCUUUGCUUAUCUGCUUUGCUAAGUCGAAAGCUAUUCGAUUAUGAGUGACUUAAUAUUUUAAAAUUGAUAGUAUGUAUUUGAAGUUAGACAAAAUCUAAUGUUCUAAUCAAGAGGUAAAACUCGCAAACUUUUGUGAUAUAUAAUCACAAACGUCUUCCUCUAUUGUCAUUUUUCUGUUUCUUUGGAAAGCAUUAGAAAGUGAUUUUCUUAAAAAAAAAAAAACAUCUAAUUGUACCCAUGCUUCAAUCAUGCAUGUGAUGAACUGAGAAUAAGAGCAUAAAAGUCGGAGUUUGAAGUCAUUUUCGAAUUUAACGCUAUUUGUGUAUUAAGUCAAAAGUUACUUGAAUUUAGAAAUAAAUAAAAAAUUGACUUAUGUGGGAUGUAUUUUAAGGACUUUUUUUAUUUUUGUGAUUCUUUUGAUAAAAGGUCAGUUCAAUUACCCAAUCACCAUCUUCCAUAAACUCUUUAUUUUAUCUAUAUUUCAAGAGUCUUUUCAUCUUGUCUUAACUUAUUUUUAUUAAUAAAAGUUACAUUUUCAUCUGCUCGCCCACUAAUUUUUGUUUCAUACAUAAAUACACUAUAAAAAUAAUACUCCUUCUGAUUUUUAAUAUUUGACGCUUUGACUUUGGGCACGAUCGAGUAGUUAAAAUUAUUAUUUUGGGAGUAGUAAGAAUUGUCAGUCGAUUUUAAUAAUAAUCGAAUAUACCUGAAAUCAAGGAGGCGACAGUCGAUCUAAAAGUUUAAGGGGUCGUUUGGUUGAGACUUCCUUGGUAUCAUAUAUGAGUUUUGUUCAUUCAAAACCCAUUCAAAACCCAUACCUGGUGUUUGGUUGAGAAUUUUAUUUCAUCAAACCCAUUCCUCAAACCUAUUAAGUAUGAGAAUUUCAUACCCAAAGGGGAGGUGGGUAUGAAACGUGGGUUUCAGGCAGUGUUCUAAAAAUCGGUCUAGGCGGCCGCCUAGGCGAUGCCUAGGCGCUAGGCGGCCCCGAGACGCCCCGAUUCGGUCCUAGGCGGUGAAUUAGGCGGUUUUUUACAAAAAUCGGUCCUAGGCGGUCAACAUCCCGCCUAGGCGGUCCAAAUCCCGCCUAGGCGGUCCAAAUCCCGCCUAGGCGGUCCAGGCGGCCAAUAACAAAAAAAAAAUAAUAUUUUUAAUAAAUAAAAUCUAAAAUUAUGAUUAUAUUAUAAGAAAUUAAGUAUUCACUUGUACUUAACUUAACAUCUUAUAAAAAAAAAAGUAAAAUGACUAUUAUUUUUAUUUAAUAUUUCUUACAUUAUUUAUAAAAGACUGAUUGGUAUAUAUUUAUUUAAUCAACAAUUUUGUAUUACAUGUAUGAAGUAUUUAUUUUAUAUAUGAUAUUAUAUUAUUUACCAGUUUAACUCUACUAGUAGUGAAAAAAAAAUAAAAUUAUUAAAUUACAUUUAAUUAUAAUAAUUUAAAAAUAAUAUAUGUCCGAUUAAUGCUCCGAUUAAUCUUUCCGAUUAAUCCCCGAUUUACCGAUUAAUCGCUAGAAGGUACCCCGACCGCCCUGGGACGCCUAGCGAUUUCUGAAACACUGGUUUCAGGAAUCAAAAUUGUUUUUUUUUAUUUUCAUUAUUAUUUAUAUUAUUCCUUAUAAUUUUUUAAGACAAAAUGAAAUUAAUGACUUAAAAAUGUAUAUAAAUAUUAAUUUCAUGAUAUUUUAAAUUAAUUACAAUUAAUAACUCAUAAAUAUUAUAAUUCAACCAUAUUCAUUCCACCCCUCAACCAUACACCUGAUAUCAGAAAUGAUACCUCAACCCCAUACCAGCUUAACCUGAUACCUCAUUACAACCCCAUACCCCCCUCCAACCAAACGACCCAUAAUUGUUCUCAUGAGGAAAAAAAUUACAAAAGCGUUCCUGCAUCAACAGUUAAUCGGUGAUAUUAUUUCUGAUUUUUGCUUGGAAAAUCAGCACCACAUCUCUGGAUCUCCACUUGUUAAUUUCAGAACUUAAAACAAUAAUUCAAAGACACCUACAGUCAUCUUCUGAAAAAUGGUCCUACGAGACACUGUCUUCAUAUUGACUAACUUUUGACGGACAACUCAACCGUUGAGAAGGCUGUGAAUGAAGCUGUAACUGUUUACUGUAUCUUUUAUGUUUAGUUAAAGUGUUUGAAUCAAAAUACCUGCAUCGGAUACGAUGUUUUAAUUUUAUUUGAAAUUUUCUUUUGAUGUUAAAUUGCACCAUAGUCCUUUGACCUUUCUAGAUUUAGUGCCGACUAUCUUAAAAAAAAGGGUUUCUUUUUCCAUAGUUACGCGGAGGGUAUAAUCGAGCCGAGCCUAGUCGAACACUGUCAGACUCGGCUCGAGCUUGAUUGAAAAGUUUGGGGCUCGAGCUCGAGUUCAAGUUCGAUCAAGCUUUUAAUUUCAAGUUCGAGCUUGGCUCGUAAACAGUUCGAUAGGCUUGAGUUUGUCAUCAAAUAUUGACAAAAACUCAAAAUAUGAUCGGUUUGGUUCGAGUUCGAUUCGAUUAAAUAUAUAAAUUAUAAAUAAGAUAUUAAAUAUUUUUGUAGAUAUAUUUUUAUAAUAAAAAAAUUAAAAAAUUGUAGAGGCUCGAUAAGGCUCGCAAACUUACGAGCCGAGUAAUUUGAAACUCGAGCUCGGUUCGGUUCGGUAAAAUAUCCAAAUAACUCGAGCUCGAGUUCGGCUCGAUUAUUAUCGAAUUGAAAAAUUCGAAUAUUUUACGAGCCGUGCUCCAGUAACUCACGAACAGUUUGAUUUGUUUAAGAUCCUAGUAAUGCUAUUGUCGAUGAUUGUUACGUUUUGCACAAAAAUAUUUAUAGGGGCCUUUUGAGUGGUUCAAAAUAAGUGUUUAUUGUUUAAACUAAAGAAAUGAAAUAGAAGUUAGAAUUAAGUUCAAACUUAUAAUUGAUUAAAGUAUUUGAGAAAUAAGUAGAUGUCGUGAUUUAAAAGCUAGUAUUCUCCAUUUCAUAUAAGUACUUCUUGAAUUUUUACGCAAACAAUAUGAAUAAGUGCUUGAACUUAUAAAUCUAAAAGUCGGGUUUCUAAACCCGGUCAAACACCCCAUAAUUUUAUUGCCUUCAUCAUUCCAUCAUAAAUCCAUACACAUAUUUAUGUUUUAUUUAUGUUUCGAAAGGAAAGUUCCAUCAUUUUUUUCACUAUUUUCCUGAUAAUCCUCAUUAUUGAACUCGAAAUCCGGUCACGUAUUUAUAUUUUGAAAGGAAGGUUCUAUUAUUUUCUUCGCUAUUUUCCCGAUAAUCCUCUUCAUUAAAAAUUCAAGACUCAUUCAUGCUCGAUCACUAUUAUCUCAUAUAUUCUUCUUUUUCCUUUAAAUUAUUUAUAAUUUUUCAUUCUAUUUUUUUCUAAUUAUAUUAUCAUUUUACAUUCAUCUGUUUAGUUGAAAAAAGGGAGGAAUAGCAGUAACAACCAAUAGCAUGUUACAGAAGUGAAUCUUUGAUCUAUCUUACUUAUUCUUGGAUCAGAUAUGGGAUGUUUGUUUCCAUUCCCAUCUCUUAUAUUUUGAUAAAAUCUAAACAUCAAUCCUCAAAUCUCUGUGGGGACUUUGUGAGACAGAUUGCCAAAUAAACCCUACCACCCCACAUGCACAUCAACUCCCUCAUAAUUGUAUUGCUCAACCCAUCCUUGCAUGCCUCUUUAUAACAUCUUACUCAUUUAUGCCCAAACCAUAUUUCAAUUCUAACCAAAACAGAAAAGAAAACUUAAGAAUCUCAGAGGGAAAAAAAUUACAAAAUAACUAAGGAAGUUAUGGAUCAAGAUGACAUCUUCUUUGCAGACUUAGACAAGCAGAUUUCUCUUCUUAUAAUGGACGAUGAUGAUGAUGAUGAUGAUACUAUUAAAUUUCCGGUCUCAAGUUAUCGACAUCCUUCUGCUAAUUCUCUUCAGGUUCUUCUUCCCUGCAUCUUUUCAUUGAAUGAAAAAACAGCUUAAUCUAGUAAACAUAUAGUACUCUUUUGUGUUGUCCUGAUCCUUUUUCUUGUAUUUUUUCUCUAGCCUUUUUCUCGAGUGAUUCAUCCAAGGCCUCCGACACAAUCACAAAUGUUCUACGAGCAGAGCUGCAUAACAGAGCAGAGCAAAGGAACUGGAGUGUUUUUUCCUCGUUCCACUCAACCACGAAGAAAGAACAGGCAAGGAAGGUUUACAACAAGACCGUCAAACACCAAGUUUCAGAAGCAUUCUGAUGAUAACUCAAGAGAUAUACCACAUGGUUUACCUUACAACAACUACAAAUUUUCUUUCAACCAUAAUAGAAAUUGAAUAUAAAUUAUAAACGAGGUGUGCAGCAUACAUUAUAUAUUCUUAAGCAGUGUGUAUCGAGAUAAUUCUCUACAUUGAAGGAUGCAUGAGAUGGUAAUCAUGAUUCAUGCUCCAGAUCAAUGCCAGCUAGUUAGCAAUCUUUUGGUGGGAACUGGGAAGUUUUCGCAAACAGAUUGGAAUUAGUUUCACUCCUUUGAUACAGGAUUGUAUAAUUAGUCAUGUUCUUGAGCUUGUUAAUGAUGUACAAUACAUUGAUUCAUUAUUUAUUUGUUGAGCAAAUUUGCUUGGUGUACAACUGUUUUUUCAAGUUCUUCACAUUGACCAUAUCUUCAUGCAAUUGGAAUAUGUAUAAGCUCAGAUAUUCAGAGAACCAACUUUCAUUAUGGUAACUAAUCAGCUCCUCUUUUCACAAAUAGACUGGAAAUUGAACAAAUUCAUGAUACUUAUCUGUAUUUAACACUCAUACCGGUACGGAUGAAGUGAAUUUUCCACACUAUAACUUGGAAGCUUCAAAAGUUCCUGCACCUUGAUGCUUCAAGACCUCUGAGCCAGGAGGGCUUCACUUCUGAUAUUUUUUUGAAUCUUGAAGGAGCUCUAAUACUUUUACUACGUAGCUUGCAUCAGUUCUUGAUUUGGGAUCUACACGAAGACAUUUAAGUGCAAGGGAGGAAGCUUUUAAUGCUGCUUUGACAGUAUAUUGGCCUUGGAGAUGAACAUCCAUGACAUACAAUAUCCCGUGCUUGCUGGUAAGGUAACACUUAGCCCAUGCCCUUGUUGCAAGAGUCUCACCAGUUAGUCUUCGUCCUGUCAAUAUUUCUAGGAGAACAACUCCAAAGCUGUAGAUAUCACUUUUACUCGUAAGAUGACCUACAUAAGAAGAUAUUGGCAAGGGAUCUAAAGAAUACAUAAUGAGGAUGGAAUAUGCUAUAUGUUGAACCUUUUGACAACUGAUUAUGUGGAAUAAUAACCUGUAGCUGCAUAUUCUGGAGCCACAUAACCGGAUGUUCCCAUAACUCUUGUAGACACGAGGGUUCUUUCAUGUUCCGGCCCUUCUUUUGCCAGCCCGAAAUUGGAGAGCUUGGCAUUGUACUUCUGUCAAUCAGUAGUAGAGUGUUUGCAAUGCAAAACUAAUUUAAUGGGAACACUAUUUGACAGUAAAUUUAAACAAUCAAUAUGUUCCACAUACAGAAUCAAUCAAUAUACUGGAUGUUCUAAAAUCACGAUGAAUCACAUUGACUUCUGGACUGUGAAGAAAUGCAAGCCCCUUUGCUGCACCAAGAGCAAUACUUAUACGAAGAUUCCAGGAGAGCGGUUGAAAGUAAGAACCCACUGUUUCAAUUAAAAAGGAUGCUACAUUAAGAAUCAGUUAAUCAACAGUUCAACACAACCUUAAUUCUAACAUUGGAGAUAUAUGUAAAGAUAAUGGCACUGGAGAAAGAUCAAACUUCAUCAAACGUCAUUGCAACAUCAAACUAUACAUUCUAAUUUAGCACAUUACACAUGCAUAGUGGUGUUCUAGUAGAUUUUUUUUCCAAAAUGGAUUAGAGCUAAUAAGAUUGAGAAACUCACUCCCGAAUAGAUGCUUUUCCAAGCUGCCCUGAGACAUAAACUCAUAUACUAGAAGCCGAUGCUCCUUUUCUAAGCAGUAUCCGAUCAAAUUUAGAAGAUUAGGAUGAGAAAGUCUCCCCAGAAAAUUAAUCUCUGCCUGUAGUAAAAGACGUGCAAAGGGUUGUUCAGCCAGCUUGUGAAAUCAAACAUGAUAAUGUAAAACAUAAGCAUAAAACACCGUAGAUUUUGUAGUUAGUACUUUCAGCCUCUUCUCGUAACCUUGGACUCCUUGAUUUAAUCUCUUUACAGCGAUUACCAGGUUCCGGGAGUUAAAUACGAAGCUUCCCCAUUUUGCAGCAGCAAAUGUGUUCUCAUCAACCCAACCCUUAAAAACACGGCCAAAACUACCCUGCCCUAACAAAUAUUUAUGGUGGAACUUCUUGGUAGCUACACUUAGAUCUUUAAAUGAAAAAAUCCUCAAAUUAAGUGACUGCAGAAUUUCUUCCUGGUUCCAGAUUGUUGGUAUCUCUGAUGGAUACUCUGUCAAUUGUUGGUAUUCUGCCGAAUUUUGAUUACUAUCACUUGACAGCACAUCAUUACUGUCGCUUGACGCCUUCGCAUUUCUAUCAACUGAAAGAAGGAUUCAAACUCUUAAAACCUGAAUCAUAUUGUGAGGCUAUAAACAUAACAUAAAGAGCACAAACUAUUAUCCUAAUAUGUUAAUAACACAGAUGAAAAACAAUACUUUGUCCAUUUUAAUUAUGCUAGAACUACUUCUGUUCAAGGACUGAAAUCGCAAUUACAAAUCUGUAACACAAGCUAAUGACACAAACCUGAAAUAUUGGCAGGCUUCACAUAUUUUUGUUUCUUGGUUCUUCUAGGAAACUUUUCAUCUCGAUGUCCACGACUGGCAACAGCGCCAUGUUUUUUAAUUCCUUGGUUGUAUACAGCAUUAUACAUUUCAUCUAAUGGAUAAUCCACAAUCUCAUGGUUAUGACUGACAGUUGAGCCUUCUGGUAAAGUAGAAGCUGUGUUCUGUUCUUGCAGUGCCAAUGCAGACUCGAGACAAACCACAACCUCACCCAUUGUGGGACGGUCUUUGGGUCCAAUAUGUAAACAUUGGAGUGCAAUUUUUACAAACACCUCUACGGAACCAUGAAAGGCCUCAUCUUUUAUACCGGGAUCAAUAAUCUGGUCCAAGAUUCCCUCCCUGAAGCAGUAUUGUGCCCAUCCAGCCAAACCUAUCUGCUCUUCUUCCAGACUACUUUCCAAUGCUGGUCUUCCACACAAGACCUCAAAUAACACCACACCGAAGGAAUACACGUCAGAUUUCCUCGUCAGUCUACGUGUUAUGAAAUAAUACGGAUCCAAAUAACCAAAGGUACCUUUGACAUGAGUGCUAACGAAAGUACUUCCCUGAUUUGCAGGACUUAAUUUAGACAAUCCAAAAUCUGAAAUUUUCGCUGCAUAAUUUUCAUCCAGUAAAAUGUUAGUGGUCUUUACAUCACGAUGUAUAAUUCUUUGCUGAAUUCCUGUUCCAGUAUGAAGGUAGUCCAGUCCUCGAGCUGCUCCAAUGCAUAUCUUAAGGCGUUGAAUCCAUGAAAGAGGUGGCAGAGAAAUAUCACCUUGUCGAAGCCUCUUAUGAAUAUGAUCAGCUAACGUGCCACCUGGCAUAAAUUCAUAAACAAGAAUCAUCUCAUAACCUUCAUCACAGUAACCAAUCAAAGACACCAGAUGGCUGUGUCGAAGUUUAGAAAGCAUUUCAAUCUCUGUUCGGAACUCUGUUGAUCCUUGACUGGACUUGGAAUGUAACCUUUUUAUGGCAACUACAGUCGGUCCAGGUUCAAGAGUACCUUUGUAAACCUUCCCAAACCCGCCUUUUCCAAUCACCAACUCGUCGUGGAAAUUAGAUGUCGCCUGCUACAUCUGGUCAAGUGAGAACCGUAAACACAGCCCUCGAAUAGACAAUGAUAUCAGUAGGUUGUUUUGCUCCACGAAUUUUGCUUCUUGAAGCUGCCGGACCUUGUAAGCCACACAAUUCAAGAUAGUGAUGAGAAAAAUCACUCCAUUAACAAUGAUGUUUGUAUAUCUGUAGAGAACCAUUCCCUCUAAAACCUUAAGGUGUUAGAGGAGGCCCCUUUAUGGAUCUUAUACUUAUAUUUCAACACUCCCCCUCACUCGAAAUCCCAUUAUUUGGGUUGAAGAGUGGAUCACGGGCGCCCAGCUUUGGGGUAUAAAUUGCCUUCGUGUCCAUUUUGAAUUGUGAGAAUAUUGGGGGGUGGCAGGGGCUCGACCCCGAGUCCUCCCGCAAACCUGUGCUCUGAUCCCAUGUAGAGAACCAUUCCCUCUAAAACCUUAAGGUGUUAGAGGAGGCCCCUUUAUGGAUCUUAUACUUAUAUUUCAACAAGAUAGAAAAGCCCAGUUCUGUGUCAUUGCCGAGCAGUACAGCACGAAUGACUGCAGCAUGAAUAACUCUACCUUCACAUUCUGCAAGCUAUAAAAUUAACACCUCCUAAGAUGAUCAGUAGCGCUUAGUAUCUUGGUCGAUAUAAAAGCUAGAAAAUAAUAAAUUUGCAGACUAAUACUGAAAUUGUUGUCAAACAAGAACUGUGUUUCCAUAAAAGAUAUUAUUAUUUGGCUAGUAAAAUGAAAGCGACAAGGCAAUGGAAAUUCCUUGCUCUAAUAGAAUUCAGAAGAUAUUUGCGAGGGAGAAUGAAUAUCAUUAAGACAAUAAAAAAAUCAACAACAAAAAGAUGCAGCAACAGAUGAUAGAAUGUCCUUCAGCUUAAGAUGAACUUGUGGUUGAAUGACUCUUUACAAAUUACAAUCAGUGGAAGGAGACAAAUAGAAGAUGGCAACAGAUUGUAUGUUUGUUUUUGCAGGGAAAAGUCAGUUGUGACGACCAUAAGCCCACACGGCAGGUUUCUAAAUUCUUAAGAUUAACCGUUUUAAACGCAGGGUGUAAGUUUAAUUUCAAAAUGGGUUAAUUAUCAAGUUGUUCAUUGAAGUGGGUUUAAUGUAUCAAGUUGGUCACUGAACUGAAAACGAUAUCAAGAUGGUCACUAAAGUCACCAUAAAUAUCAAACAAGUACCUUUCAAGUAGUAAAAAUAUUAUUUAUAAAGUUUUACACAUUAUUUUUAAAUGUUAACACAACCAACUAAAAGGUUAUAACUUGUACAGUAGUAUUUAAAAUAAUAUAUUCAUAUUUUAUCAAGUUAUUUUAUUUUGUUUUAAUUAAAAAUAAAUAAUAAAUAAACUUGAUAAAAUCUAAAUAUAUUAUCAUAAAUAUUAGAAGUCAUAACCUUUUACUUGGUUUUGGUAACAUUCAAAAAUAAUGUGUAAAACUUUUUAAAUAAUAUUUUUACUACUUGAACUAAUAUUUAAAGGUACUUGUUUGAUAUUUAUGGCCACUUCAGUGACCAUCUUGAUACCGUUUUGAGUUCAGUGACCAAUUUGAUACAUUAACCCCACUUCAGUGACCAAUUAGAUAAUUAACCCAUUUCAAAAUUAACGUAGGGCAUAUUCAAUCUUGUUUAUACUCCCUUCGUCCCCUCAAUUAUUUACGUUGGAGGACGGGGGCUCGGCACGCAUUCUAAUGUUCUCAUAAAAGGUAGUUUAAUAAAUUAUUUUGAAUUUUUUCUUCUUCUGAAUAAAAAUUUGGUGUUUAUAUUUUUAUACCCACCACUGGACUAUCCAAUCGUGCUCAGUUGAGCCUCUUCUUGGUAAUAAGUUUCAUCACAAAAUAGAGUUGAUUGUACAAGUGAUUUUCAACUUUAAACUAAUAAAUUACUACAGAGGUGUUUGUUCCACAUACCGCUUCAGCCUUCAUAGAUAUAGAACACGAGUACUAAAGCAUUAGAGAGUUCUGGGGAAGGAACACGCUUCAGCCUGUUGAGAAGCAACACGACCCGGCAUUGGAGAGUUCUGGGGAAGGAAAAUACUAAGUACACUGGUGAGAAUCAGCAACUACAUACUUUUCAUCUAGUUAAAUUUCAACAACUGCAGACAGGAAUCUUGUAGUAAUAUUUAAAACAACAUUACAACGUACACGAGGUAAAUGCAUUUUGUUGGAUUGGCUUUGGUAACUGCAUGUAAGUAACUGAAGGGAAGGAACUUAAGCCAAUUUUAUAAAUUCAGCUAUGAUGCCAAUGAGCCCCAAAGCUGAGAGCAACAACCACGGACCAUGGGAGACUAAUGUAUAUUCUACCACGGCUGGUUUAAUACUAAUAGAGCACAAAUUCAAAAUCAUUUUAGGGUCUUGAUUCCGCAAUCAGAUAUAAAAGAAAGGAAUCUUCUAAAUUACAACUUUACAAGUUUUACCCACAAAUAGUAGCAAUACGCUCCAAGCUUUCGACAAUUUCUGACAUUGAAGGCCGCAUGCUAGGACUACUAUCUAAACAUUCAGUAAUGACUGAAGCUAUGAAAGGAAACAGUUGACUACGGGCACCUCCUGGGUAACUAUCUUCCAACCAUGGAUCCAAAUAAGUAUCAAGAGAAGUUGCAUAAAAUACGAAGCGCUUCUGUUUGUCAUCAUGAUAUGUUAUGGAGUCUGUAAAGUGCAGCAUUUCAUUCGCCCGUAUACCUGUCAUCAGUUCCAGCAAAACCACGCCAAAAGCAUAAACAUCCGUCUCUAAACUGACAACACCUGCAAAUUGGUUGAUGUCUUAUUGUCGUCAGUCUAUCUGUACCAGUAUAUUCUUAUCAUUAGGCAAUGCUCUCUAACGCUCCUUCUGGCCCAAACGAUACUAACUCUUAACUCGUGUACACAGACACGAGUUAAAUGCUUCCUUCCUCUGUGUUAUUAUCCCAAGUUAUCUUCAGCUUAUACUAAGUUGUAAUUAAAAAUUAACAUAGUUAUAUGAUAUACAUGCGAAAGCAAUCAAGACUAUAACAAAACAAUUGUGACCAACAAUUCAUCAAACUAUAUGGCACUCUAUUCUAAUGUGAAUUAUCAUAUAUAUAAUAAAAUCCAUUCAAUCUUUAACUUGACAACACUUCAAGAUAAAUAUUAAGAGUUUCAGUCAAGAUUGAUAAAAAAGGAAUCAAACAAUGCCUUGCUGUGGUAAAGCAUAAAAUUAAAAAAGUAAACCCGCCACUACUGCAUAAAGGGAACUUAAUUACCAGAGAUCACAUAUUCGGGAGCUGCAUAACAAAGUGUUGCCGCACUAUGUGUAGUCACAUCUGUGUCUCUAUUGGAUUCUGUUAACCUUGCCAAUCCAUGGGGUGAAAGUUUUGCAUCAAAUUUCUGUAAAGUUAAAUUUUGGAAAUAUAGAAUAAGAAAACUGUUAGUGAACUAUACUUGGCUCUAUUAAAUUUCAUUCUAGAUAGAGUGGCUUUAAGAUGUAUAAUGAGAAAUUGAUGACGAUGUAAAGUACCUCAUCAAGUAAGAUAUGAGAUGUCUUCAAAUCCCGACAGAUGAAUAUUUGUUCUGCUGUGUGGAGAAAUUCAAGGCAUCGAGCUACUCCGAUCAAUAUUUUUAGCCGAACUUCCCAGCGGAGUGGUUCUAUUGCAUUUUUCUUUGCUUGGCUUGGAGGUUCUGCACUCUCAGAGCAAUACCAUUACUAUGACAAUAUUCGGAUGUAUAGUCCAAAGAUUACAAACAUAUAUAUGAUAACCCUUUAAACACUUAAUCUUGCAUUAUGAGACACAAUAUAACACAAUUUAAGGAUACUUGGAUCUUAAGCAAGUAGGAGAUGCAUCAUAAUCCUUUGAAACUAAACAUUUAAGAAAGAACAAUAACUCUGGUCGGUAACUUAAAAUAUUUUUUCUUUCCGAAGAGGGAAAGNNNNNNNNNNNNNNNNNNNNNNNNNNNNNNNNNNNNNNNNNNNNNNNNNNNNNNNNNNNNNNNNNNNNNNNNNNNNNNNNNNNNNNNNNNNNNNNNNNNNNNNNNNNNNNNNNNNNNNNNNNNNNNNNNNNNNNNNNNNNNNNNNNNNNNNNNNNNNNNNNNNNNNNNNNNNNNNNNNNNNNNNNNNNNNNNNNNNNNNNNNNNNNNNNNNNNNNNNNNNNNNNNNNNNNNNNNNNNNNNNNNNNNNNNNNUUUCCGAAGAGGGAAAGAGGAUACUGGUUUACAUCUAAUGCUUAGAUGAAGGUAAGAUGACCAAAUUUUGGUAAGUAUUUCUAAAGAUGGAGAUGCAAUUGGUUAAAGCUAAUUAGUAUCUCAAGUUCAGAAAGUAUGUCUCACUUACUGAAAAUGUGGGUAUCCAAGUCUCUAUUCUGCAUAUACUCAUAAACAACGAGACGUUCCUCGCCUUCUGAGCAAUAUCCUAAAAGCUUAACCAAAUUGGGAUGGCUACACUCUCUCGAGAGGUCUACCUCCAUCUGCACCAAAAGAUAAAUACAUUAUUGUUGACAAAAGUACAUUAAGUUGUCCAAGAGACACUAUCUAUAGCAGUGACACAUAUCCAUGAUGAAUGUGUAUAGUAAAAUAGUUAAGAAUUAUUAUUGUUGGAUUUCAUCUGCUAUAUAAUUAUCAAUCUCGGGGUAUGCCAUUUGUAGUCCGUAUCACUUUUCUUCAUCGACACUGGAAAACGGAGUGUUAGAAUUUUAUGAUCAUGGCACAGACAACUGAAAUAGUAAGACUUUCCUUUGAACAUAGAAAGUCCAUCAAUACAACUUCUGUAGAAAUAACCUAUAUGCCCUUUAUUUGAAAAAUAAAUAUUCCACAACUUGGUCAAUUUAUAGCAGCUAAAAGAUAUUAUGGAAUCCUAAUAAUUUCAACUGAGCAUAAGUCAAAUAGCAGAUAGUGAUGGUCAACAUUUAAGGAAUUAAGGGUAUAUGGAAGUCAAAUUACCUGCCAUUCUAUAUGCCCUUGCUGAUCCGGAAUAAAUCUUCUAACGGCAAUGGGUAAUCCAGUAUAAGGAGUAGUGGGGGCAUAAGUAUUCUCGUCGACCCAGCCUAUAAAAACCCUUCCAGACGGUCCCCUGCCUAACACCUCUUCAAAGUUAUUUGUCGCUCUUUCAAGAUCAGUUAAAUUAAACUCUUUCAAAUUUCGAGUUAUGUUUUCUGAAGUCUUUGCAUCUGUAUUGACUGAAAGAAAGAAGAGAGAUCUAAAAAUAUAAGUGCUUAUAAGAUACCAGAAACAUAAUUAAACGACUACUAGAAAGAGAAAGUCAUAUUUUCAAAAAGUUUUCAUUAACUGAAUAAAAGUUUCUAGAACAAUUACCAUAUAACUGUGAUUCAUUAAAAUUAGGUAGUCCUCCUAACACAUAAGGUCAGUCAGUCACUUAAUCAGUUACUUGGCUGUCUGAACCUUGACCCAUUGGUACUCUAACAAAUCUCCAAAUUAACACAGGCAACCAUCAUCACUUGGCACUCCACUAAAGAGUUUUGUUCAAAGCGAUAUUCAAUUAUUCAAGUCCUAAGUCUGUGCUCAAGUGACGGGACGUAUUAAGACAUAUAUUCUAUUUGUAACAAUUUGAAAUAAUAACAUAUCAUUUUUAAGAUAUAACCAAUCAAUAUAGUCAAUCCCAUCGGAGCACAAUGUCUUACAGGUUCGACAAAUUUUACAUGAUUAGUAUUUUGUAUAAUUUCGCCAACCAUUUUUAUCUAGCACCAUUGGAGAUGCUCUAAAGAAUUAUGGAAGUUCAAACAAUUUAAAUCCACAAUUAGGAUCUAGGAGAAUCAACAAGUUUAUAGCUAUAUUUUUUUUUUGAAUAAAGUUUAUAGCUAUAUUUAAAAUUUAUCUGCAAUUAACUAAGCAUUAUAACACCAUCUUGUACUAUAACAUGAAGAAUCUGUUAGAAUCUUUGAUUUAAAAUAGUACACGAUGAUUAAUUAGCUUGAUUGUGUUUUAAUAUUACUUGUAAGAAAAUUUGUCUGCACAUCUCUGUGAAGAUUUAAAGUCAUUUCCUAAAUCUUUAGUCUCGAGUUUACAAUUCCAAGUACCCAAAUAUUGCUGAUUUGCUGUAUGAACUUAUACUUAAGUUUACCUGAUAAUGCCCGAGCUGCAAGUGCAAGAAAAACACCAAAUCUUUUUGUAAAAGUCGUUCUGGUAGAAGACUGCGUUUCCUGAUGGCUACUUUCAGAAACUACCACCAUCUCCUUUUCGGAAUCAGCACUUUCCAUCUCAAGUGCUGAAAAAUCUGUGUCAUCUUGGUUGUUAUCACUAGUGAAUAUUUCAGGCAAACUACAAUCAGUGUUCUUUUCUUGCAAAGCCAAGGCGGACUCGAGACCUACGACAACCUCAGCCAUAUUGGGACGGUAUUUUUGUCCAAUAUGCAAACACUGGUUUGCUAUUCUCACAAAUGCUUCAAGGCAAUCAGGAAGAACCUCCGAUUUUAUUGUAGGAUCAAUAAUAUUCCCCAAGAGUCCCUCUCUAUAGCAAUGUUGUGCCCAUCCAGCUAAACCCAUUUGCUCUGCUUCCACAGUUUUGUCCACUGCCGGUCUUCCACACAAGACCUCAAAUAACACCACACCAAAGGAAUACACAUCGGAUUUCCUUGUGAGUCGAUGAGUUUGGAAAUAAUAUGGAUCCAAAUAACCAAAGGUUCAUUUAACAAGAGUGCUUACAAAUGUAUCUGCCUGAUUUGCUGGACUUAUUUUAGAUAAUCCGAAGUCCGAAAUCUUAGCUGCCAAAUUCUCAUCCAAUAGAAUGUUUGUUGUCUUUACAUCACGGUGUAUUAUUCUGUGUUGAAGGCCUGUGCCUGUGUGAAGGUAAUCAAGUCCACGCGCCGCUCCAAUGCAUACCUUGAGGCGUUGAACCCAUGACAAAGUUGGUACAGACUUAUCACCUUCUCGUACCCUUUUAUACAGAUGAUCAGCCAGUGUGCCACCUGGCAUAAAUUCAUAAACCAAAAUCAUCUCAUAACCAUCAUCACAAUAACCAAUCAAAGUCACAAGAUGGCUGUGCCGAAGUUUUGAGAGCAUCUCGAUCUCCGUCCUGAAUUCUAAUGGUCCUUGAGUGGACAAGGAGUGUAACCUUUUUAUAGCAACUACAGUUGGUCCAACUUCAAAAGUACCUUUGUAAACGUUCCCAAAUCCACCUUUUCCGAUCACCAGUUCGUCAUGGAAGUUAGAUGUUGCCCGCUGCAUCUGAUCAAGAGAGAAACGAUAACACAAUUCUCUUGUAGACAAUGACAAGAGUUCGUUUUUUUGCUUUGUGACUUCUGCUUCUUGGAGCUGUCGAAAUUUGUGAACCACAACAUUUAAAAUAAUGACCAGAAUGAUCACACCAUUUACAACAGUGUUUGUAUAUCCAAACAGAAAUUCCCAGUUUUGUGUCAUUACGGCACAUGUGCAGCAAGAAGAACAGGGAGACACUAGCUGGACAUAAUUAGUGUUUUGUAAUAACAACACAGCUCUAAACUCACUUCACAAUGAAAAAAUGAAGAAGGUACAUGAACCAUUUCAUUGAAGCUAAUAAUAGGUCCCAACUAUUUACAACAUCACCUAUGGUUGACUCACUCAUCAAGUCAAUACAGAAGAAAAAGAUUCGGACCCAGCAGCACAAGUAGGGUGAGCAUGAUGGCUACUUAACUUAAUAAUACAAUUGCUAACCUCUAAAAUAUGAUACUAGUCAAAUGUGACGAUAUCAAACCCAUGACCCAUCGCAGAACAUCUAUUUUUCUGCAAUAAUUAUUCAAUAAUAAAAAACAAACAACUCAUAUGCCAGGGACGUUUAACUCAUGGGUCCAGGUCCCUGGCAGCUGGCCUAUCAUUUUCAUGCCGUUGGAUGAAUAUCCAACGGUUAAAAAGCGUUGGACGAGGCCUUUUCCAGUGCUUAAAAAAGCGCUGGCUGCCGGAUAUUCAUCCAAUGGCCAGAAAAUGAUAGGCCGGUUAAAUGGUCCCUAACAUACGACUGCCAGGACCAGACCCAUAAUUCAUAGGAUUUUUAUAAUAUGCAACAAGUUCAGAGAAAAUGCAUAUGAAGCUUUCAAGUAAAUUACUUUUUUUUCUUAUUUUAAAGGUAGUUUGAUGUAACCAGUGACUUGAUAUAAAGAUGAUAAGCAAACUUUUUUUAUUUUGUCAUAAGAUGAUAAGCAAACUUAACUGGACAGAAAUUAAAAUAAACUGAAGGAAUAAUGCUGGUACUGUAAAUAACUGAAAUUAAACUGGAAAGGACAUACAAGACAGUAAAGGAGAAAUGCAGGUAAAAUUACACCACUCAAGCCUGUCCUCCCCUACUCUGAGCAAGUGUCUCUGUCAUUGGUUGUUUGCUCAAACUGUUACAGGCUCAUGAUUUAAGGUUGCUACAGGAUAAUACGACAUCGUUUUGUGACUCAACUACUGAUAAGAGCGAGUCCAAAAGCUUCCCUAAACAAGCUCCUAAGCUCAAACAUAGGGAAUGUGAUCUAAAAUGCGGUUCCAAUAGUGUCCCCUAAAUUACCGCGACAUUCUCAAAUUUACUAGUGAUGCCCUAAAACCCACUAGUCAUCCCUUAUUUCUUUUUCUUUUUUGGAAUAUAAAGUUCAUUUCCUUCCCUAUCUACACUCUGUCAUCGCUACUCUACUAAGAGGCAAGUGAACACGUGUAGCCCUAAAUUUUUUGACAUUGUUUAAUCAUUCUAAAUUUAAAAAAUUAUAAAAAUGUCACCAUAAAAUUUAAAUUUUUUUAAGAGUUUUCCAAAAAUUUGCUUAACGACCCUUCAGGAUUUGAAUCUUCAAUCCAUCCUGACGAGGUAAAAGACAAUUAUACACUCUAUUCUAGUUAAAUGUGUUCCGAGUUUAAUAAAUAAAGAAAAGAAUGAAAACCUGCCUAUUUUCUUUGCUCUUCGAAAUCUUUCCAAAAGUGGUUAGUUGUCCCCCGCUGCAUCUGAUCAAGUCAAGUGAAAAACGAUAACACAAUUCUCUUGUAAACAAUGACAAGAGUUGUUCUUUUUUUUUGCUUGGUGAGUUCUGCUUCUUGGAGCUGUCGAAACUUAUGAACCGCGACAUUUAAGAUAAUGACCAGAAUGAUCACACCAUUUACAACAUUAUUUGUACAUCCAAACAGAAAUUCCCAGUUUUGUGUCAUUGUGGUACAAGUACAACCAGAAGAAGAACAGUGAGAUAAGAAAGCUCUGAGCUCACUUCCCAGUUCAAUAUAAAUAAAGAAAGUCUCUACAAUAGGCCCAACUCUCUACAAUUACACCGGUAGUUGACUCACUCAAGUCCAUACAACACAAAACAAUUUGGGCCCAUAAACAGAAACAGGGGCCUGACCCAUAAACAAAAGCACAUAAAAAUUUGAAAAUUUAUACUGAAUAUUCCAGUUUCUCGUCUGGAAUCUGGAUUGGCAAAAUAAUCUGAUAAUCGAUCCAAAUCUGAAAUUUUAGAAAUAUUGAACCAAUUCAAAUGAACGGGGGGAUAUUAAAUAUACAGAUCCAAAAUUCAAUCCGAAACCUGACACAUCUUUGUGGAGGUUCGCGGCGUUUGAAUUGUGCAUUUAUUUACCUAAAUCACAAUGCUUUGUCUACCGGGGACCGAGGCCCUACUAAAAAAAAUUAAAUCUAAAAACACUAGUGCUUAUAAGAUAUCAUAAACAUAAUUAAAUGAGUACUAGAAUCCGAAAGAAGUGAUAAUUUAAAAAGUUUUUAUUAAGUGAAAAUAAGUGUUCAAGCAAGUGAGAAAAUGAUUUGAUGCUAUGAAUUUUUUGAGCAAUUUAUUCUGUUUCUAUAUCUAUUAAAUAAAUAAAAUAUUAAAUUUAUUUUUAUUAAUAACUCAUAAGAUAAACGGGUUUUUAAACAAAAUUAACAUGGAGAAAUAUAUUAUACAGCGGAGUUGUAGUUUAUUGGCACCAUAAAUAUUCUAUAAAAAUGACAGAACUCAACUAUAUCGAUUACAUUUAAUCAUUGUUUUUAUUGUAACUUCUUGCAGUUGACUUGCUCAAGUCGUUCUUGUUGGGUGUGUAUCCUUCAAGUUUAUCAAAGAAAGAAGCUGCUCUAAUUCUUCUGCUACUUGCUUUGCAUCAGGUCUUGAUUUGGAAUCUUGUGAGAUGCAUCUAAGUGCGAGGGAAGAAGCUGUUGAUGCAUCUUCUACAGUGUAUUGGCCUUCUAUACGUGCAUCCAUUAUAUCCGAUAUUAUCACAUGCUCUUCGCUUAGCCGAGACACAGCCCAGGAGGCAAGAUUCCUCUCCUCGACUGCUUUUGAAAGUUCAAUUGUUCUUCGUCCUGUCAAAAGUUCCAGGAGGACAACUCCAAAGCUGUAGAUAUCGCUUUUCUUUGUUAAUUCACCUUCAUAAGAAUAGAUUAUCAUGGGAUCAGAAAAGCUACAAAAUGAAGAUUGAAGAUGGGGACAAAGUAAAGCACAUAGAUAAAACAGAAGCAAGGAGUAUGUGCCCUACUUGAUUACUGAUAUUUGCAAUCUACUUGCCACACAUAAAGUGUGAUCAACUUCCAGAAAAAACAUACUCCCUCCGUCCCACCAGGUUCUUUACAGUUUCCUUUUUUUUGACGUCUCACUCAAUUUUUUACAUUACAAAACUUUCCCAAAAUAGUUAAUGGAUCUCACCACUUUAUCACUUUUUCUCCCCUUUCACACACUUUUACUCCACUAUCUCUCUUUUAUAUAUUAAAAAUAAAUGGGUCCCACCACUUCACUCACUUUUCUUCCUCUUUUCCACUACUUUAUACAUAUUUCUUAACCGUGCCCAAACCCAAUGUAAACAACUGGGUGGGACGGAGGGAGUAAUAAUAUUUUUUCUGAAUCUUUUGGACGUAAGAUGAUACAGAAUAUGCUAAACCCUUUAGACUUGAGAUUAUGUGAAAUAUUAACCUGAAUGAAAAUAUUCGGGAUCUAGAUAACCCAAUGUUCCGCGAACAAGUGUAGUAACAUGGGAUCUUUCAUCUUCUGGUCCAUUCCUAGCGCAACAGAAACCAGAGAGCUUUGCAUUGUAUUCCUGUCAGUAAUAGAAAUUUUGUCAGGCAAAACUAUAUUUUUAGUGGGAACAAUGGUUGGAAGUAAAUUUUAACCAUCAUUGCUUCUACAUACUGAGUCAAUCAAUAUGCUGGAUCUUUUGACAUCACGAUGUAUAACAUUUACUCCUGGACUGUGAAGAUAUGCAAGCCCCUUGGCAGCUCCAUGAGCAAUACUUAUACGCAGUUUCCAAGAGAGCGGUUGAGAGUCAGAAUCCCCUGUUUCAACUGAAUUAAAUAACUGCAUCAAGAAUCAGUUUAUCUCACAGGCAUAGAUUACAAAUACAUGUUUUGUCCCUUUUUAAAAGUUGAACAAUUUUGUAGGUACCUUCUUAGGCCAAGUCUAAUUGGCGUGUUAUAUCUUAUUUCAUGUCUAUAUUAUAAAAUGAAAACUAAAGUUUAUCAUACAAUGGUGUUUCAUAUUUCAUGCUAAGACAGAGAAUAGUGUACUUUGUGCUAAGUAUAAAACAAAAGAUAGAUGUAAAUAUGAUUGAUCUAAUACCGGGUCCAGGUCCCCAGCAUAUGAUUGCUGAGGAGCUGUUAUUUAACACACGAUUUUCCCACCGUUGGAUCAGUUUAUGAACGGCCAAAAUUUAAAAAUUUUCUCAUACAACGCUGGAGAGCUAGAUUUUGUUUUGAGCAUACAACGCUUAAAAAACCAUCUCAUCAAAAGUUGAAAAGUUAGGUUGGAAAAAAAUAGUGUACUCCAUAUAGGUGGAGUUUUUGGAGAGCUGGUGAAAUUUCGGAACAAGACUUGUACCAAUGAUCAGAG
rnacentral:lncRNA from 1 species